GGUUGCUAUGGGCAACUGGGCAACUUUUCCUUUGCACAGGUUUUGAUAAAUCUCCCCCCAUGUCUGUAGGAAAUCAGGCACUGCUCAUAUCCUUCCCAAUACCAUCCCUACAGUGAAGCAUGUUGAUGGCUGCAUCAUGCUAUAGGGCAGCUGGAACAAGUAGACUGGCCAUGGUUGAGGUAAAACUAAAGAGAGCAAAGUACAGAGGUUCACCUUCCAACAAGACAAUGACCAAUAUCAAAAACUGGCUAAUUCUUUGUCAUUUUGGGGUAUUUAGUGCUCAAAAUUAUUGUUAAAACCGGAAUUUUACUUUUAUUUUAUCAUAAGGCCUUAAAGGACAUCUGCAGCAAAAGACAACUUAUCCCCUAUCCACAGGAUAGGGGAUGAGGGUCUGAUUGCGGGGGGUCCUACCGCUCAUUAGCCGUUCACAUAGAGAGGCAAUGCGGGGGCCCGUUUGGGAGAUCGCGAGGGGUCCCAGUGGUCGGACCCCCUGCGAUCAGACACUUAUCCCUUAUACUGUGUAUAGGGGAUACGUUGUCUUUUGCUGCAGAUGUCCUUUAUCAUAAAAUGGAAAAAGUGAAAGGCACCGUAAACAUUCCGAAUGCACUCUAGACGGCUCCGUUAUGUCCUGUCUUCAGAUUGUCUUUUUUUGUUUUGUUUUUAUGUUCAGUCUCUAGAUUGUCAUUUUUUUUUUAAAUGCUUGUCAUCUUGAACAUGGUGUCUUGAUUAAAGCAUUGAGAACCCUGUCGAAAUCAAUAUAUUUCCCAAGACUUAACAUAUCUGUCAGCAGAUUUUGCCAUGUGUGUCAUUACUAAUUUAAGUCAUCAUUUACAAUUAUUACUUCUCUUAUUUCCCUGUUUUAGCAUUAUAGAACAUAUGUUAUCAUACAGUUUAUUAUUUUUUACAGUAUGAGGGUCACCAGGAUAGGGUUUCUUUGGAUCAGUACUCCUCAAACUGUGAGACAGGUUGUCACAAUUCCAAGCCACCACACAGCAUCCUCACUUCUCUCUGGUUCCACACAAUGGUUUGUUUCAUAUUUAAAGGGCUAGCAUGCACCAGAGUUUGCAUUUGUGGUACCUUGGGGGGUGUAUGGCAAUUGGGGUGUUGCUAUGCAGUAUAUCAAGGGUGUAAUUAACUCUUGUCAGUCGUGACGCCAGGGUGAGGGUUAAUACUGUGAUGCUUGGCCUAUCGCCACCCUUCCCAAGAGCGACAGGGAGUUGAAUACAUUUCACGUAUUGACGUAUGGUUGGGACUUUUGUAAAUUCUUUAGAUUAGUAGGAUUUUGUAAGCAUAGAUCCGCUGGAUUUAGGGGUAUGUUUAGGUCCAGAGGUCUCGCUAGCAUAAGCGGGGAAGUUGUAAGAACUCACUGUUUAGAUUCAGGUCUAGGCCGGCAGGCUUUGGCCCAGUAGUUGUCGUUGAAAGUUGCGGAGGUCUGUCCUCAUGAAGUGUCAGCAACCCAAGAGAUAGACUAUUGGCUGCAGCUCCCUUAUAUGGGCAGGGGCUGACCGUUUUAGGAUUGGACCACACCAUCUGUCAAUCAGCUUUACAAAGUGUUAUGGGUUAUGGUUUUACCUACCAUAGAGUAUGAACCCGAGUCACAUGAUCUAAGGUCCUGCGACGAUAUGAAGGUAAGCAUACAUAUUAUAUAUAGCAUUUACAUGUAAUUUAGUAAAAUAUUAACUAUAUGAGGGGUGACUAGGGGAUGACUAGGGAAGCGGACCCCCACAGUUCCUAGGAACUCUGACUUUGGGGACCCCCAACCAAGGUACAGUAUGAAAUACGGUACUGGGACACCACACAUUUGUCCAUUAACCAGUUCUGCACCUGAUAAGACUCCUUCCUGCCACUUGUUACUGAGCAAUAGGGUUCUACUAUUAUAGUGAACUGCAAAGGUGCUUGCUAUUUGACCAUUGUCCUGUCUUUUGUCUGCCUUGACUGGUGUUUGUGAUCUGAGUAAACUCUGCAUUCCCUAUCUUAUUGCCUAAACUACUAGAUCUCUGCUACAUACUUCUGUAGCCUGCUAAAUACAUGCCUGUGGCUGGUAACUCUGACCAGGGACUUAUCAAAACCUGUCUAGAGGAAAAGUUGCUAAGUUGCCCAUAGCAACCAAUUUCAAAAAUGAAAGCAGCGAUCUGAUUGGUUGUUAUGGGCAACUCAGCAACUUUUCCUCUGGACAGGUUCAGAUAAAUCUCAAGACCACCAACCUGGGAGUUCCCGUUGCUUAAAUCGUUACUGUAUUCCAAGUCCAGGGGGAUCAUGAUCGCUAUCAAGAACACGAUGACGUUUUCCCUACAAGAGGCCUUGUCGGACCCGCAAGGGAGUUCUCUACGAUGUUAUAGUUGCUGCAAUCAUAUAAGAUAUUUUUCCUGGAUCACACUAUUCUUGGUGUACUCAACACUGUUGUUGGAGAAAACCACAUGAGGUUGGCAGUUUUUGAAAUACCCAUCCUGACUAUUCUAG